rnacentral:misc_RNA from 1 species
AGGUGCUCACCGCGGUGUAGACUUCUAUGACUUAGAGGACAGCUCUCAGCCGCACACAGCAGCCCUUGACACUGCAGCCGGCUGUGACGUCUUCUGCCGCAAAGAUGAUGCUGGUGGCUAGUGCUCCUUGGCGCAUGCUGCAGCAGAGUAGUGGAUGGAGCAAGACUCAGUGCAUGCCAUGCAUUUUUGGACGUGAACUACCGCAACCAUCUCGGCAGCUUGACUUUGUUGUCCGGGGACUGCUGCUGGGGCCCAUCAAAGCCAGCCACUGGUGUGCGCGAAGUCUGCGGCUUUUGUUCGUGCUCAGCAUUGCAGCCGAUCCUUAGGGAGCAUUGUGAGCUCUUAGCAUCGCUGUCCUCGUUGGCGCGUGCUGUCCAGCACAUGUGCGUGAGGGCCAACAGAAACGGCAUCAGAGAUGUAGAAAGUCAUAGCAGGUGUCCUCCAGUGGAGAAAAUGUUGAUGGCGCGGUGCACGAGGCUCCCGCCACCUGCAGCGUAGACAGGGUGCACAACAUCCCUGAAACUGAUUGAGGUUCACAAAACGCAGCUGUGUAGGAGCAUGUGCCGGAAGUCGUUGAAGCCGGUGCUGCUUGUUGUGAUUCAAAGCGAUAUAUCCUUAUCCUGCGCAGGAGUGUUUGACUACUUUGGCUGACAUGGGCACUGUGUUGCACUCUCUGCUCCUCUUUUCUCUUUCCCAUCCACGGCAUCCUUCCCGUCUCUCUUUUCAUAACCAUCUGCUUUGCACUGCCUUCACUGUAAUAGUCACCUGAGGUGAACGUCGUGGUGUGUUUUUGAUUCCCUGGUAUCGCCUUCACAGUAUUAUCGCUUCGCGCCAUUCAGGCGGUCUCUGCAGCAUACCCAUCAACUGUUGCUCUUCCCUCCCUGCUCCAAUGCUCCUUCAGCGAUGUUAUCCCAAAUAUCGCCAUCAACGCGUCUACCGCAUUUCUAAAUCCCCACAAAACGUAACCGGAGACAUAGAAAACGUAUGCCAAGGAUAAGACCGUACGCCUGCGUGCUGAGGUGCACACGCACACCCGAAUAAGCCCAUUU